rnacentral:rRNA from 1 species
AGCGAACGCUGGCGGCAGGCUUAACACAUGCAAGUCGAACGCCCCGCAAGGGGAGUGGCAGACGGGUGAGUAACACGUGGGAACGUACCCUUUGGUUCGGAAUAACUUGGGGAAACUCAAGCUAAUACCGGAUAAGCCCUUAUGGGGAAAGGUUUACUGCCGAAGGAUCGGCCCGCGUCUGAUUAGCUAGUUGGUGAGGUAAUGGCUCACCAAGGCGACGAUCAGUAGCUGGUCUGAGAGGAUGAUCAGCCACACUGGGACUGAGACACGGCCCAGACUCCUACGGGAGGCAGCAGUGGGGAAUAUUGGACAAUGGGGGCAACCCUGAUCCAGCCAUGCCGCGUGAGUGAUGAAGGCCUUAGGGUUGUAAAGCUCUUUUACCCGGGACGAUAAUGACUGUACCGGGAGAAUAAGCCCCGGCUAACUUCGUGCCAGCAGCCGCCGUAA